UGGAAGCAAAUAUCUUAGGCUACGAUCGAUGAGAAGAAAGUAAACACAAUAAGGAGUCUGUGAAAGGAAAGUUGAGGUAAUUCGGGUACCAAAAGCUCAAGAACGGAGGUCCCGAACGUCGACAACGAGGUGAUAAGGAGCUGGUCGAGGUCGGGAGCAGACUCUGGAGCAGGUGCCAUAGACUAACCUCACCCGUCAUC